UUUGUGUGUGUGUGUGUGCGGACGUGUUUACUGUGCGCAUUAAAUCUUUGAAAUCCAGUUUAUAGAAGGUGUUAAUAGCCGCCUGGCUUGGGUCAUUCAGACUAGAGAAUUUUAUGAACUUUUAAAGGCCAAGAGUAAACGUGUCGCGUCCUGAGUUUGUUUGAAAAAGGUGGUAAAGUGGAAUGUUUAGUUACAGUAGGGUGGUAGAGUGGAAUGUUUAGUUACAAUAAGGUGGUAGAGUGGAAUGUUUAGUUACAAUAAGGUGGUAGAGUGGAAUGUUUAGUUAUAAUAAAGUGGUAAAGUGGAAUGUUUAGUUACAAUAAGGUGGUAGAGUGGAAUGUUUAGUUAUAAUAAAGUGGUAAAGUGGAAUGUUUAGUUACAGUAAAGUGGUAAAGUGGAAUGUUUAGUUACAAUAAGGUGGUAAAGUGGAAUGUUUAGUUACAAUAAAGUGGUAGAGUGGAAUGUUUAGUUACAAUAAGGUGGUAAAGUGGAAUGUUUAGUUACAAUAAAGUGGUAGAGUGGAAUGUUUAGUUACAAUAAGGUGGUAAAGUGGAAUGUUUAGUUACAAUAAGGUGGUAAAGUGGAAUGUUUAGUUACAAUAAAGUGGUAAAGUGGAAUGUUUAGUUACAAUAAAGUGGUAGAGUGGAAUGUUUAUUUACAAUAAAGUGUUAGAGUGGAAUGUUUAGUUACAAUAAAGUGGUAGAGUGGAAUGUUUAGUUACAAUAAGGUGGUAGAGUGAAAUGUUUAGUUACAAUAAGGUGGUAAAGUGGAAUGUUUAGUUACAGUAAAGUGGUAGAGUGGAAUGUUUAGUUACAAUAAGGUGGUAGAGUGAAAUGUUUAGUUACAAUAAGGUGGUAGAGUGGAAUGUUUAGUUACAAUAAAGUGGUAGAGUGAAAUGUUUAGUUACAAUAAAGUGGUAGAGUGAAAUGUUUAGUUACAAUAAAGUGGUAGAGUGGAAUGUUUAGUUCAAACAUGGUGCCAGAGUUUAAUGUAUCAAAUACAUUGUGUGGUCAUCCUCCACACUGGUAAACGUGUAAUCAAACAUUUGAAGCCAUUAGGUUUUGUUAUUGAAAUCGUGAUGUAUUUUUGACUUCUUGUGUACCGCGAAUUAUUUGAUUGGACAAGUAGGUCAACAUUCUUUGAAGAAAGAUGGUACAAAGGGGAGGCUAUGCAUAUUAAGAUUGUACAAAGGGGAGGCUAUGCACAUUAAGAUUGUACAAAGGAAAGGCUAUGCACAUUAAGAUUGUACAAAGGGGAGGCUAAGCACAUAAAGAUUGUACAAAGGAGAGGCUAUGCACAUUAAGAUGAUACAAAGGAGAGGCUAUGCAUAUUAAGAUUGUACAAAGGGGAGGCUAUGCACAUUAAGAUGGUACAAAGGAGAGGCUAUGCACAUUAAGAUUGUACAAAGGGAGGCUAUGCACAUUUAAGAUGGUACAAAGGGGAGGCUAUGCACAUUAAGAUUGUACAAAGGGGAGGCUAUGCACAUUAAGAUAGUACAAAGGGAGGCUAUGCACAUUUAGAUGGUACAAAGGGGAGGCUAUGCACAUUAAGAUUGUACAAGAGAGAUGAGGGUGAAACGGUGUAGGCUGAAAUAGUUUAAGUUAAGGUAUUGUACAUGUGACGGUCGAUGUGUCAGUUGAGAAGGUAUUAGGUGAGAUGGUGUCAUUUGUUACGGUGUCAGUUGAGAUGGUGUCAGGUGAGAUGGUGUCAUUUGUGACGGUGUCAGUUAAAAAGGUAUCAAGUGAGAUUGUGUCAGUUGAAAUGGUAUCAGUUGAGAUGGCGUCAAGUGAUAUGGCGUUAGGCAUUAUGGUGUCAGACAUGAAAGUGUCAGGCUAGAUGGUGUCAUGUGAGAUUGUGCCAGGUGAGUUGGUGUCAGGCUAGAUGGUGUCCGACAUGAAGGUGUCAGGCUAGAUGGUGUCAUGUGAGAUUGUGCCAGGUGAGUUGGUGUCAGGCUAGAUGGUGUCCGACAUGAAGGUGUCAGGCUAGAUAGUGUCAUGUGAGAUUGUGCCAGGUGAGUUGGUGUCAGGUGAUAGAGAACGUAUUGAGUAAUAAGAACGGCGGUACAACUGUAGACAAAGUUCUGUACAAAGUUACAACAUGGAAAACAUUGAAAACAAUGGAAAAAGAAUCAAACUGGCAGUCUGUGUGAUGGACUUUUCUUGACACUAUAGAUAUAUUCUAGCUACUUCUUAAGGUCCUUACAACCUUUAGCGGUGUUAUAGAAAAACACAAGCACAAAAAAGUCAAUGAUGUUAAUAAAAUAAAGUUAGAAUCAGAAUGAGAGACAACUUCUUUGCCACUUACCUAAUUCUACACACUGUUUUACAAUACCUCUAUUCAACUCCAAUCCUGCUGGGUUCAAAAAUCUGGACACGGAUUUC
rnacentral:sRNA from 1 species